UACGUAGGUGACCAGCGUUGUCCGGAUUUACUGGGCGUAAAGAGCGCGCAGGCGGUCGUUCAAGUCGAGUGCGAAAGCCCCCGGCUCAACUGGGGAGUGUCAUUCGAUACUGAUCGACUCGAAGGCAGGAGAGGGAAGCGGAAUUCCCGGUGUAGUGGUGAAAUGCGUAGAUAUCGGGAGGAACACCAGUGGCGAAGGCGGCUUCCUGGCCUGUUCUUGACGCUGAGGCGCGAAAGCUAGGGGAGCAAACAGG
rnacentral:rRNA from 1 species